AUUGAACGCUGGCGGCAUGCUUUACACAUUCAAGUCGAACGGUAACAGGGUGCUUGCACCGCUGACUAUUGGCGAACGGGUGAGUAAUGCGUCGGAACGUGCCGAGUAGUGGGGGAUAACGCCGCGAAAGUUGAGCUAAUACCGCAUACGAACUAAGGUAGAAAGCAGGGGACCUUCGGACCUCACGCUAUUCGCGCGUCCGACGUCUGGUUAGCUAGUAGGUGAGGUAAAGGCUCACCUAGGCGACGAUCAGUAGCGGGUCUGAGAGGAUGAUCCGCCACACUGGGACUGAGACACGGCCCAGACUCCUACGGGGGGCAGAAGGGGGGAAUUUUGGACAAUGGGCGAAAGCCGGAUCCAGCCAUGCCGCGUGUCUGAAGAAGGCCUUCGGGUUGUAAAGGACUUUUGUCAGGGAGGAAAUCCCUAGUGCUAAUAACACUGGGGGAUGACAGUACCUGAAGAAUAAGCACCGGCUAACUACGUGCCAGCAGCCGCCGUAA
rnacentral:rRNA from 1 species